GGGGGUGAAAGGGUUCGACUUAAGAUAUGUCGCUUAAGAGCAGCAUGCCGCGGAUGUAAGGUUAGCCGCGUUAACAAUCCUUGCACAAUUCAAACGCAAACACAAAAACACCAGUGUUCACAAACCGAUUGGCAGCGUUACCGGGUUUUCAGCCGGUAGCAUUUCCAGCUGGUUGCGUACCAGUCUUAGCGUUUAAUUAAACGCUAAGCCUCUAGCUGUCCUGCCUACGGGAUAGAUUAGAGCUCAAGUAGGAUAGUCCCGGCGGUUAGCCUUCCAAACCGGGGCAAAAUCGAAAAGGCUGCAUCUUGCAAAUCCUGCCGGGUAGGAGUUGCAAGGUUAAGAAUAAAUUACCAGGCUAAGCAUGUAGCGGUUUUUAGGUGAUUACUUAAGGACGGCGGUCCGAUUCCGCCCACCUCCACCA
rnacentral:tmRNA from 1 species